rnacentral:rRNA from 1 species
CAGCAGCCGCGGGAAUACGUAGGGUGCAAGCGUUAAUCGGAAUUACUGGGCGUAAAGCGUGCGCAGGCGGUUUGUUAAGACAGAUGUGAAAUCCCCGGGCUUAACCUGGGAACUGCAUUUGUGACUGGCAAGCUAGAGUAUGGCAGAGGGGGGUGGAAUUCCGCGUGUAGCAGUGAAAUGCGUAGAUAUGCGGAGGAACACCGAUGGCGAAGGCAGCCCCCUGGGCCAAUACUGACGCUCAUGCACGAAAGCGUGGGGAGCAAACAGGAUUAGAUACCCCGGUAGUCCCUGUCUCUUAUAC